rnacentral:rRNA from 1 species
UACGUAGGGCGCGAGCGUUGUCCGGAAUUAUUGGGCGUAAAGAGCUCGUAGGCGGCCUGUUGCGUCCGCUGUGAAAUCCCAGGGCUCAACCCUGGGCGUGCAGUGGAUACGGGCAGGCUGGAGGCAGGCAGGGGAGAACGGAAUUCUCGGUGUAGAGGUGAAAUUCGUAGAUAUCGAGAGGAACACCGGUGGCGAAGGCGGCCUUCUGGACAGCAACUGACGCUGAGACGCGAAAGCGUGGGGAGCAAACAGG